rnacentral:misc_RNA from 1 species
UCCGGCUUAACGCCGGCAGUCCCCCUAGAGUGCCCAACUUAAUGGUGGCAACUAAGGGCGAGGGUUGCGCUCGUUGCGGGACUUAACCCAACACCUCACGGCACGAGCUGACGACAGCCAUGCAGCACCUGUGUACCUGUCCUUUCGGAAGACGACAUUUCUGUCGCUGUCAAGCACAUGUCAAACCUGGGUAAGGUUCUUCGCGUUGCAUCGAAUUAAACCACAUGCUCCACUGCUUGUGCGGGCCCCCGUCAAUUCUUUUGAGUUUCACUCUUGCGAGCGUACUCCUCAGGCGGUAUACUUAUCGCGUUAGCUACGACACAACUGGGGUUGAGACCAGUUACAUCAAGUAUACAUCGUUUACGGCAAGGACUAC